GGAAUAUUGCGCAAUGGGCGGAAGCCUGACGCAGCGACGCCGCGUGAGGGAUGACGGCCUUCGGGUUGUAAACCUCUUUCAGCAGGGACGAAGCGAAAGUGACGGUACCUGCAGAAGAAGCACCGGCCAACUACGUGCCAGCAGCCGCGGUAAUACGUAGGGUGCAAGCGUUGUCCGGAAUUAUUGGGCGUAAAGAGCUCGUAGGCGGUUUGUCGCGUCGGCUGUGAAAGCCCGGAGCUCAACUCCGGGUCUGCAGUCGAUACGGGCAGACUUGAGUGUUGCAGGGGAGACUGGAAUUCCUGGUGUAGCGGUGAAAUGCGCAGAUAUCAGGAGGAACACCGGUGGCGAAGGCGGGUCUCUGGGCAACAACUGACGCUGAGGAGCGAAAGCGUGGGGAGCGAACA
rnacentral:rRNA from 1 species